rnacentral:rRNA from 1 species
AACGAACGCUGGCGGCGUGCCUAACACAUGCAAGUCGAGCGCGAAAAGGGCAACCUGAGUAGAGCGGCGCACGGGUGCGUAACACGUGGGUAAUCUGCCUUCGAGUCGAGGAUAACCUUCCGAAAGGUUGGCUAAUACUCGGUAAGCUUACGGUGUCUUCGGACGCUGUGGGAAAAGUAGGCCUCUGUUUACAAGCUUACGCUCUGCGAUGAGCCCGCGGCCCAUCAGCUAGUUGGCGGUGUAACGGACCACCAAGGCAACGACGGGUAGCUGGUCUGAGAGGACGAUCAGCCACACUGGAACUGAGACACGGUACAGACUCCUACGGGAGGCAGCAGUGGGGAAUUUUCCACAAUGGGCGAAAGCCUGAUGGAGCAACGCAGCGUGUGUGAUGAAGGUUUUCGGAUCGUAAAGCACUUUCGACCGGGACGAAAAACCUCUGGCUAACAUCCAGGGGCCUGACGGUACCGGGAGAAGAAGCACCGGCUAGCUCUGUGCCAGCAGCCGCCGCCG